CUGUAAACGAUGUCGAUUUGGAGUUUGGGGGCAUGACCCUUGGGCUCCGGAGCUAACGCGUUAAAUCGACCGCCUGGGGAGUACGGCCGCAAGGUUAAAACUCAAAUGAAUUGACGGGGGCCCGCACAAGCGGUGGAGCAUGUGGUUUAAUUCGAUGCAACGCGAAGAACCUUACCUGGUCUUGACAUCCAUAGAAUCUUUCAGAGAUGAGAGAGUGCCUUCGGGAGCUAUGAGACAGGUGCUGCAUGGCUGUCGUCAGCUCGUGUUGUGAAAUGUUGGGUUAAGUCCCGCAACGAGCGCAACCCCUAUCCUUUGUUGCCAGCACGUAAUGGUGGGAACUCAGAGGAGACUGCCGUUGAUAAAGCGGAGGAAGGUGGGGACGACGUCAAGUCAUCAUGGCCCUUACGACCAGGGCUACACACGUGCUACAAUGGCGUAUACAAAGGGAUGCGAAGGUGCGAACUGGAGCGGACCUCACAAAGUACGUCUAAGUCCGGAUUGGAGUCUGCAACUCGACUCCAUGAAGUCGGAAUCGCUAGUAAUCGUGAAUCAGAAUGUCACGGUGAAUACGUUCCCGGGCCUUGUACACACCGCCCGUCACACCAUGGGAGUGGGUUGCACCAGAAGUAGAUAGCUUAACCUUCGGGAGGGCGUUUACCACGGUGUGGUUCAUGACUGGGGUGAAGUCGUAACAAGGUAACCA
rnacentral:rRNA from 1 species